GAUGAACGCUGGCGGCGUGCCUAAUACAUGCAAGUCGAGCGGUAACAUGGACUUCGGUCUGAUGACGAGCGGCGGACGGCUGAGUAACGCGUAGGAACGUACCCCAAACUGAGGGAUAACUGCUCGAAAGAGUAGCUAAUACCGCAUGUGCUCUAAGGAGUAAAGCUUCGGCGGUUUGGGAACGGCCUGCGUACGAUUAGAUUGUUGGUGAGGUAAUGGCUCACCAAGUCGAUGAUCGUUAGCUGGUCUGAGAGGAUGAUCAGCCAGACUGGGACUGAGAACGGCCCAGACUCCUACGGGAGGCAGCAGUAGGGAAUUUCCACAAUGGACGAAAGUCUGAUGGAGCAACGCCGCGUGCAGGAUGAAUGCCUUCGGGUUGUAAACUGCUUUUAUAUGUGACGAAUAUGACGGUAGCAUAUGAAUAAGGAUCGGCUAACUCCGUG
rnacentral:rRNA from 1 species